GAAAUUUUCAUCUCCUCUCUCUUUCUAUGCACUGUCUAUUUCUGCAAAUCAAUACUGGGAGAUUGUGAGAGAGAAGAGAAAGAGAAUGGAAGCCAUUGAACUAGUAUACAUAAAUAAAUAUAUCUUCAGUUUUGGAAAGGCAGAGAAGAAACGAGAACCCUUAUCUCAUCUCUUGUCUCUCUCUCUUUGAACUUUGAAGACGACGAACGGCGGGAGGCGUGAUAGGCAGGGACGUUGACGGCGGUAAGCGUUGACGUUGAUGAUUACCAAGGACCUAGAGAUGUCGACAAUUGGCAGUUACUCAGUGAGGAUUUCAUCUAAUCGACGUUCAUUGAUCUCCGACAGAGACAGUAUCUACUCUUUCCGUUCAUUCUUCGAUUGGUCUCAUCUUCUCCUUUCCUCUAUAUCUGAAAUAUUCCCUGAGACUUUGUAUUUUGUAAAUUGUAAUCUUCUCUAAUUCGCCAGAAAAAAAUUUGGGUUUCGUUUGUUUGUAAAUUAAGACGGUGUAAAGCAUGAUUAGAUUCAUAAUCAAAAGAAAUUACCAAAGCAAAUACACAAAUUACUCACCCAACAAUCCAUCAAGUUCCUAAUUGGCAGAAGGUAAGUAUCAAAGAACUCUCUUUAUUUAUAUUUGUAUCCUUUUGUUUUUGUUUUUUAAUGGAUUUAAAACUAAUAUGGGUGAGAGUAUUUUUGUAUUUUUAUUAUUAAUUUUGUUAAUUGACAUAGAUCCUUUUGAACUCUUGGUUUUCUUUAGUGGGUUUUUGAUUUUUUGUGCUAGUUUUGAAUGUUGAGUUCAAUCCUUUAUAUUGGCCAUUUUGGGUCUCUGUUUUCUAUAAGAUGGUCUCUGUUCAAACUAUUAGAAAUUUGUGUGAUGAUUUUUCUAGAAUUUUUUGAAUUAACAAUCUCAUUACUCAAAACUGAUUACAUGAUUUGUGGUAAAGAAAAGGGUAAGUGGAAAUUCUUUUUGUAUUUUUCUAAUUUUGUUAUGUUUAUUUGUAAGUGGAAAUAAUGGAAGUUGAAUUAUUUUAGGUUGUACUUGCAGACUUUGAAUCAGGGUUUAGUAAAUAGUCAACAAAUGUUCCUUCUUAUAGAGAACGAUAAAUAAGAUAGAGUCUGCAACUAUAUUGAGCCCAUGAUAUAUAUACUAUAGCAGGAAAAAGAGUGAUCUUCUAGGAUGUUUGGUAGGUGUCUUAGGCGAUGCAACUUAAAUGUUGUGUGUGUGAGAGAGAGAGAGAGAGAGAGAGAUGAAUAUAAUGAAAUUCCAUGCACGUAGGAGAUUAGUACUAUUACUAUCUUUCAGUUUGAUGCUUUCUUCUUUUUUUGUUUUUUCCUAAACUUUGAAUUGUAGGUUUUGAGUUGCAGUAUGGAAACCAAUAUGAGAAGAAGGUUUACACACACACACACACACACACACACACACACACACACACAAAACCCAAUAUGAGGAAAAGACUAUUGUAUCUUUGAUUUGUGUCAAAGUGUUUGUGUUAUUUUUGUUCUAAUUUUUUUGGAGGGGUUUAGGCAGAUGUGAGUGGAAUUUUUAUUUUUAUUUAUAUUUAUUUAUGGAUCAGGCAACAAAGAGGCACUUGACACUGCAAAUUGAGAACUUGGAUGGAAAACGUGAUGAGCAAGUGGAAAUAUAAAAGUUAAUUAAGAAUGAAGUACAUUCAAAAACGGAUUAUUUCCCUUAUGGUAUACUGCAUAGCAUAGAAUAAAGUAUUUGAAAUGCUACUUUUGACUUUGAGUGGGACUGGGAGAAAUAAUUUGGGUCAGCUUUUCAUGAAUUAUGAGGCAAAUCAAUGAAUCUGAUUAUGAUUUAAAAAUGAUUCAGUAAUAGCAUAAAAAGAAGUUCUGACUUGUGGAACAAGCUACUGAUGUUCAUGGUGAUCUUUCUCAAAUUGGCUUUGACUUGGAUGCACUAUAGAGAAUGGUUUGUGGCUUGGUGAGUUUUGUCUCAAAGUUUUUUAAAUGAUUCAGUGUAACCCAUUCAACAUAAAUGAUAAGUUUUUCAAGAUAUAAAUGUGACUUGUCUCAUUUUAAUUCCGCUACUUGGAUAUUGAGUUUGUGAACUGUGCAUGCAAUAAAUAUCCAACUAUUUUAUGAUUUUCAUCUCUUAAACAUAAUGAAAUUUUAGAAACUUUUUUAUUUUUAAAUAUUCAUGGGGGUUAUAUAUAUGUUUAGGAAUUUUUAGAAUUAAUUUCGUCGAGAAUUUUGGUAAAAAUUAAGUGUGAACCUUGUUUUUAUUAGUUUAUGUAUGAUUUUUCUUGUUUGAUUCUAUCAAAAUCAUCACAAACUGUGGAAACAAUAACUGAAUUUCAUGAGUAUUGUGGCCAUAUUUUUGGUUCUCUAUUUUGUGUACUUUGUCCCAUUAAUUAGAGUCAAGUAGUUGGGUUUUGAGCUAUUGUUGGGUUUUAUUAAGUUGACUUUAUUACGAGAAUCACCUUUUGGCUUAAAUUGUUCAACACAAGUUUGGUUCUGUUGGCAAUUUAUUUCGAGUAAAAAACAGGACGUUUUCCAUAUACAUUUAUUUAUUUUUUAAUUCCCCACAUGCUCUUACAAACUAGUUUAUCUCAUGGUUACCCAAAAAAUACAUUUUAAGCUAAAAUUUGAUCAGGAAAUUGGAUGUGUAUUGGUCUCCAAUAAAACUAAAAGGUAGUAAUUGGAAAUCAUAUUGUCACAAUAGUCAUUGAAAGAUAAGAAUCAUGAUCCUCCCUAAAUAUGUUUUCUUUUCAUUUGUGUUUGAUCCAGGCUAAGGUUGGUUGCAUUUUUUUUCAUGAUAAAUUUGUUGCUUAGCUUGACAUUUGAUAAAAGCAGCGCAUCUUAUAGUGCUUAUAUUCUUAGGUUGUUGACCAAAUGAUCGAGGAAAUGGACUGUUGAUUCUUUUUUAAGUCCAAGUGUUUGUAAUCCCUUAGUAUGACACCUUGAAUCUUUUCCCCUUGUUUACAUUUAUUAUGGUACAUUGGUAUGUCUUGCCAUUUUGACAUUUAAUGUUCAAUGUAUGUUGUCACUGCUUUUCCACAGCAUGGAGUUUGGUUUAAGAUUCAUUUAUAUCUGAAACUAUAAGAUCUGGUGCUUCCCUUUUGUAUGUCCAGAGGACCAGCUGAUAAAGACAAACCAAACAAACAUACUAAUUAGGUCUCUUGUGCUUAAGAAACAGAAAGGGGGAUUCCAGUUCAAAGGAUGUUAAGAGUGCAGCUGCAAGUGAAGCUUAUAGAAAGAGUAUUGCUCGUCUCAAGAAGCUCAGUUAUGGCUCAACAUCGACAACUAGGACCCUACCCUCGUCUCUCAGAAGGUCUGUACCGAUGUCUACAAUGGCGUCACCACCAGCCAACUCGAUGAAUUGGCCAUUGAAACUAUUACUGCCAUGACUGCUAACCAUCCCAACUAUGCUUCUAUGAGUUUCAUUCUGAAAAUUAGGAUUGUAGCUUUUAAUCUGAGAUUAUUGAUUUUUUUUUUUUUUUUAAUCCAAGUUUCUUUCUCAAUCAAUAUCUUUCCUUUCUGUACUAACUGAUUCCUCUUCUCAAAGCAGAUAUAAGCUUUCACAUGCCCCCUUUUCCUUCAUUUUCUGGUUUGGUUAUUGAUCUGACUAUUGGUUAAUUAAUCUUUAAAAAGAUGAUAUUUGUGUGAGAUUGAUGAAAAUAAUUACAGCUUAAGACCAGCAAGGUAGGUUUUUUUUUUUUUUUUUUUUAAUUGGCAAAAGUUAGCGGUUAGUUGUUAGAUUGGCACAUUGGGAGAGUUGAACUCACACCUUCUCAUUGCAAGCACUUCAGACUUACCUUCUAUUUGUAAACAAUAAUCAAAAGAGAGAAUGAGAGGUAAAGAGCUGAUAAAAAUUGGUGUAAUGAAUAUUCCUCAAGCACACAGAAAAACAACAUGAAUGCAUACAUAGGUGCAAACAAUAUGCACGUGUCUGCUUGCCUCUACAUGCACAAAGUGAGAUAGAAGGGAGUUGGGAAGGUGAUUAAAUUUAAAUGUGGGACAAUCUUGAAUUAUGAGUUGAUUUGAGUGGUGAUAGAAGCCUUGUUGAAUGGAGAAGGACAUUGCCACCUCCAAACAAAAACAAAAAAAAAGAAAAAAAAACUUAAUAGAGCACCUUACUGGUAAAAGGAUUCAUAGAGUCAAAGGACAAACACAGAAUAUUUUACAUAUUAUACUAUAUUUUUUUGUUGGAUGCUGUUAUUUCAUGUGUUAGACCCAGUUAAAUUGAUAAAUAUGUACUUAAUUUAUCUAUAAAAUGUGAUUGGAUGGCUCAGCAUCAUUCAUACUUUCAAGCAUGACUAAAAUGAUUUAGGUGGUACAAGCAAAGAAUUAAUGGACUAACAGAAAAAGAGAUUGACAAGACUGUGGAGUGAUAUUAUAGUUGUUAAUCAUUCUAACAGCAGCUUUGUCAACUUUUAUUUGGAUAAUGUUGAAAUUAGGAUUGGCAAUGGUGAAAGAAUCAGCUUCUGGGUAGAUAAUUGGAUGGGAACCAAUUGUUUGAAGUCCCAAUUUCCUAGACUUUAUUACUUAUCAGUGGACAAAAACACAACUUUGAAUCUGUAGGUGACUAGGGCCAGAAACCAAAGCAGUUGGGAAUUCAACUUCAAAAGACCCUUAUCAGCAUGAGAGGAAGAAGAACUGCACAGACUACUUGAUGUUAUAGGUGAGGGCCCUGCAUUGAGAUUGGAGUCAAAUGAUAAUAUUUGGUGGAAAGCUAAUUCUUCAGGUAUUUUCAGUGUUAAAUGUGCUGUAAAUUGGUGCGAAUCAUUGAAUGGUCCUACUCUGAAACCUUUUGACUUGAUUUGGAACAAUCCCUCCCCAUUUAAAACCUAAUUUUUCUCUUGAUUGGCCUGGAAAGGGAGGAUUAAGACCUCAGAUUACUUAUAUGGAAUUGGUGUUCUUAGUGAUGAUGUUAGAUCUGAGUGUGUUAUGUCACUCUGAGUUUGAAUCACUCAAUCAUGUUCUGUUGAUUUGCCCCUUUGCUUGGAAAGUUUGGUCCAACAAAAUCAAUUGGUGGGGUUUGCAGUGGGCCUCUCCUAGUUCAAUGGACAUGCUAAUGCACUGGUGGAUGGGUUGGAAUUUUAGAAAAGGAGAAAAGCAACCUUGGAGAUCAAUUAUUAUGGCUGGUGUAUGGUCCCUUUGGAAAUGUAGGAAUGAUUGUUUGUUCAAUGAGCUGCAACCAAACUGUGAAGAUCUUUGUGAGCUAAUUAAAGUAAGAGUGGACCUUUGGAUGAAAACACACUCGGUGGGGCAAGGCUACGGGGUGGAUGAUUUUUGUCUACAACAUUUAACAAGUGAAGAGGUGCAUCUGCUAGAAGAUGAUCAGAGAAGGCUUUCAAAACAGAGUUUGGAGUGAAACUAGUUGCUGUUAGUUGUUGAUACUGCUAGUGCUGUUGAUUGUUUUUGGCAUCAAGUGAUUUUGGUGUUGCUUUUAGUGUUGUUAGUGCUGCUGCUAGUUGCUGUUUUUGGUGCUGCAGAGCUGUUGUUGAUGUUGCUGUUGUUGCUGUUAGUUGUUGUUUUUGGUGCUGAUUUUGGUGUUGAUGUUCUGUUUUGGUGUUGUUUGAUAUGUUAAUUGUUGUUUUUUUCUUGGCUUUGGUUGGUAGCUCACUAAUUCUUGAUGGCGUGCUAGCAAAUGAUUGAGCGGGGAUAUUGGUGCCAACUUAGUUGAGAUUGGUAUGAGUCGCUAUCUUAUUUUCUUGGAAGGGAGUACUUUAUCUAUGCUUAUGACCAAAUAUAUGCUCUUUCUCCUGAUGUUGUUUCAAACUUGGUUGCUCUAAGAAGGGAAGUUUUUGCAGACGAAAUCCAAGCUGCUCAGAAUUUUCUAAUAUAAAGAUAUGGAGGGCACAAGCUGAGUGUUGAUACAAUUGAAUCAACCCAUGAUGGUGGACUCGCAAGAAGAUAUUUUGUUGUAAUUUUGUACUAUUUAGAAUUUAAAGAUAGUUUUUGUGUGUAUGUGUGUGUGUGUGUGGAUGAUUUAGAUCUUUUUGGACGAUUUUGAAGUUGAGGACAAUUUUUGAUGUUUGUAAACAUAGUUUUUGGAUGGUUUGGAAUGUACGGGCAGUUUUGGAUGUUCGAAACUUAUGAAUAAUUUUUUUGAUAUUUGAAA